rnacentral:rRNA from 1 species
AUGCGCCGCCGUCGUUUCCAUGCGCUGAGGACCCCCGUGCCGCCUCUUGAUGUCCAUGGCCCUCCCCGCGCUCGUCCACACCGUCCCUGCCAACCAGCUCGAGCUGCGGGGUCUCCAUCGCCGGAUCGGGCACCUCCCUCCGCUUCGGCCGUCGCCGUCUCGCCAUCACCAUCGCCUCUCCGGUCCACCCCAACCCUUCCCGAGCGCGCCAAUGGUCUCGCGACGUUAGAGCCCAGGAGCCAGACGCCACCAUCGACGACGACUACUACUACUCGGGAGGUGCCUACUACAACGUGCAGCCCAUUGACAACGACCAAGAGUAGUUUGGAGGAUCCCAGGCAGGAGGCCUGCGCCUCUUUCGAUCUGUAUCCCAGUUUGUGCUAUUCUUCUUAA